rnacentral:lncRNA from 1 species
AAGUUUUGACAGCAAAUAAUAGUACGCUAAACAAAUAUCAAAAACGAAUAUUUACGGUCAGAAAUUAUUUCACCUCUCUUCACUUUUGAUAAAACAAAUCGAUACUAAAUUUUAGAGUUCGGCUACUAUACUCCUAUGAGCAUAAACUCUUUUAUACUCAUAAAUUUUCGCCCAUUUGAUCUAUCUUUUUUACCAUUUUCACUCGUUACGUUAUACUAUUCAAUCAAUCACCCACUCAAUUCUAGAAAAUCACUAUCAUCUUGGCUACACAUUCUUUCAACCAAUGACCGAAAACUUAUAAAUAUAUAUAAAGAAGUCUAUACUUAUAAGAGUAUAGUAGUCUUAACCCUAAAUCCUAAACAGACAAAAACUAAAGCAAAACU